UACAGAGGUCUCAACCGUUGUUCGGAUUCAUUGGGCGUAAAGGGUGCGUAGGCGGCGGGGCAAGUCAGGUGUGAAAUCUCGGGGCUCAACCCCGAAACUGCACUUGAUACUGCCUUGCUCGAGUACUGGAGAGGAGACUGGAAUUUACGGUGUAGCAGUGAAAUGCGUAGAUAUCGUAAGGAAGGCCGGUGGCGAAAGCGAGCCUCUGGACAGUUACUGACGCUGAUGCACGAAGGCCAGGGGAGCAAACGGG
rnacentral:rRNA from 1 species